rnacentral:tRNA from 1 species
GCCGAGGUGGCGGAAUGGUAGACGCACUAGCUUCAGGUGCUAGCGCUCGCAAGGGCAUGGGGGUUCGAGUCCCCCCCUCGGCA